UACGUAGGGUGCGAGCGUUAAUCGGAAUUACUGGGCGUAAAGCGUGCGCAGGCGGUUCUCCAAGUCCGUUGUGAAAGCCCCGGGCUUAACCUGGGAAUGGCAUUUGGGACUGCAAGGCUUGAGUGCGGCAGAGGAGACUGGAAUUCCUGGUGUAGCAGUGAAAUGCGUAGAUAUCAGGAGGAACACCAAUGGCGAAGGCAGCUCGCUGGGACGUGACUGACGCUGAGACGCGAAAGCGUGGGGAGCAAACAGG
rnacentral:rRNA from 1 species